CAGCAGCCACGGUAAUACGAAGGGGGCUAGCGUUGUUCGGAAUUACUGGGCGUAAAGCGCACGUAGGCGGAUAUUUAAGUCAGGGGUGAAAUCCCGCAGCUCAACUGCGGAACUGCCUUUGAUACUGGGUAUCUUGAGUAUGGAAGAGGUUAGUGGAAUUGCGAGUGUAGAGGUGAAAUUCGUAGAUAUUCGGAAGAACACCAGUGGCGAAGGCGGCUCACUGGUCCGGUACUGACGCUGAGGUGCGAAAGCGUGGGGAGCAAACAGGAUUAGAUACCCGUGUAGUCCCUGUUUCUUAUAC
rnacentral:rRNA from 1 species